CAAUGCAUUGUGGGAGGACAAUGGCGGCGUUUAGCAGGGGUAAAGAGCUGUAAGACACAUUGAUGCAUCUGACAGCUUCCAAAGGCUUGGAAAGUAGGUUAAUGAUGCAGCUAUAGACAACCCCAUCUUAUGCAUGUUAUGAGAAGUUAAAAGUGUUUAACAACUACUCCAGGCUUUUUCUUUGCAAGAAGGGAUAUUGAUAGAGGGAAGGAGAUCAGAUAUGACUAUGGUGAUCCCAUGCCCAAUGGACAAUCUUCCUUGGAGUUCAUCACUCAUCAGGAAGCAUUUUGGAGGCAAACCCUGUUGCAGCAUUUCUACAUGUUCCACAGAUUGUACAGACUAGUCAGGACCUUGUAAAUUCUUAUGUUCAACAGCUUAGGCAAUUUAGUACAGAGUGGAUUAUUGAGGCAGACCCUGAUGGAAAACUUGCACAUGUUCCACAAACCAGUGAAGACCAUUUUGCAGAAUAUAAACUUUUUCCGCAGAUAAGCCAAGACCCUAAUGGUGUUCAUGUGUGUGUGGUUAAUUAUUUGCUCUGAAGCUGAUAUGUGGACUGAAUAUAAAACUGUCUUUUUCUACAGUUAAGUCCAUCUUAAUCUGAAAAUACUACCGGUACAUUUUGAAUUAUGCUUUAUUAUGCAGAAAAAAAAAUAAUUAGUUUCAAAUAUGAAAAGUCUGUUGAUACACUGCUUUGCAAUUCCAAAAGUGAUAAUGUGAUAAGUUUUGAUGUGAAUAUGUGACAUGUGCCAUUAUCAAUUUUCAUAAAUAAAAUCAAAUACAAAGGCCA